CGGGGUGAGUAAUGUCUGGGAAACUGCCUGAUGGAGGGGGAUAACUGCUGGAAACGGUAGCUAAUACCGCAUAACGUCGCAAGACCAAAGAGGGGGACCUUCGGGUCUCUUGCCAUCGGAUGUGCCCAGAUGGGAUUAGCUAGUAGGUGGGGUAACGGCUCACCUAGGCGACGAUCCCUAGCUGGUCUGAGAGGAUGACCAGCCACACUGGAACUGAGACACGGUCCAG
rnacentral:rRNA from 1 species